CAGUGAAGGUGUGACAAGAUUAAGACCAAGAUGGAGAAAGACGAAACCAGAGUUUCAGAGCUCUUGAGGACACCACAUGCCCAUGACCCUGCAGAAGAAACUGGAAAAACACCACUUCAACUUGUAAUUGGAUACAAGAUACUAAUUACAUAAAGCGUGCAUGUUGAUGGCACGACAUCAGUGCACUGAAAGACAGUCUCUCCUAGAUGACGUGCCUCCUGCAUGUCAAACUGAUGACUGUCUUUUGGUCAAGAACGCAUUCAGCUGGGAGUCUGACCAGUUUCAGCACGUUACUGGCAGGAGGCACUGCUCGAGUGGGUUCCUGUGUCCAACUCACACCGUCGUGCUGGAGCCCUGAUCUGUACGUUCUGCACUGCCACAGUGCCUCUCUCCAUUCUUAUUGUCAGAACUGUCCUGGUCUGCAAUUGUGUCUGUUUUCUGUAGCAAACGACUUUCACCUCUGGCAUAGUUCUGCACGUCUGGGUCAAUGGACUGCGCUGCCUUGACAGACAAUGAGGGACCUUUGUCCAGGCCGUGGCAGCACAUGAGAUCUCGCUCAGGUGCUGCUUCCCACCCUCGGUGCCCCCACCAUGCCGCGUGCUGCUCGCUUCUGGGGGAACGCUUUGAGCCCUGCCAUAGGCCCUCAAAAGAGGAACUGCAGAGGCAUAAUGGCAUCUUGUGACGUAGAAGAGCAUCCUGCGUGCCAGGCAAUGUCAGCAAAGGCACUGUCCCCUUAUCUCUGUUAUGUAACCACGUCAAAACGGAGGUGAGUUUGUG
rnacentral:lncRNA from 1 species